GACGGAGGGGGCAAGCGUUGUCCGGACUCACUGGGCGUAAAGGGUGCGUAGGCGGUUUGUCGCGUCUGCUGUGAAAUCCCGAGGCUCAACCCCGGGUCUGCAUUCGAUACGGGCAGACUAGAGUGUGGUAGGGGAGAUCGGAAUUCCUGGUGUAGCGGUGAAAUGCGCAGAUAUCAGGAGGAACACCGAUGGCGAAGGCAGAUCUCUGGGCCGUAACUGACGCUGAGGCGCGAAAGCUAGGGGAGCAAACGGG
rnacentral:rRNA from 1 species